rnacentral:rRNA from 1 species
AGUGAACGCUGGCGGUAGGCCUAACACAUGCAAGUCGAACGGCAGCACAGUAAGAGCUUGCUCUUACGGGUGGCGAGUGGCGGACGGGUGAGGAAUACAUCGGAAUCUACUUUUUCGUGGGGGAUAACGUAGGGAAACUUACGCUAAUACCGCAUACGACCUACGUGUGAAAGCAGGGGAUCUUCGGACCUUGCGCGAUUGAAUGAGCCGAUGUCGGAUUAGCUAGUUGGCGGGGUAAAGGCCCACCAAGGCGACGAUCCGUAGCUGGUCUGAGAGGAUGAUCCGCCACACUGGAACUGAGACACGGUCCAGACUCCUACGGGAGGCAGCAGUGGGGAAUAUUGGACAAUGGGCGGAAGCCUGAUCCAGCCAUACCGCGUGGGUGAAGAAGGCCUUCGGGUUGUAAAGCCCUUUUGUUGGGAAAGAAAAGCAGCAGGUUAAUACCCCGCUGUUCUGACGGUACCCAAAGAAUAAGCACCGGCUAACUUCGU